ensembl:snoRNA SNORD8 small nucleolar RNA, C/D box 8
CCUCAGUGAUGAGUUGCCAUGCUAAUACUGAGCCACCAGCUAGGGCAGUGUUGCCCUGGUUUGGGUGCCAGUGAGUUUAACAAAACUUCUCAUGUGGAGACCUGAGGGGC